CGGAAGUGCCUGCGCGCGGGGCCCGCCGGGAUUAGGCACCGCCUGUAGUUGGGCCGUCGGUUGUUGUCUCGUCAGCCACCGUGAGGGGUCAACGCGAGGUCGGUGGGGUUAGCAACGCGUCGGCGGCGGCUCCAAGGUCUGAGCAGCAGGCUAGGAGGACCACUGAUGAAGCGGGUAGGAGGCCGAUGUCCCCGGAACACACGUUGACAUCUCUCAGGGUGCCAGGGCAGAAUGUACACGCUGCUUUCGGGGCUGUACAAGUACAUGUUCCAGAAGGAUGAAUACUGCAUUCUGAUCCUGGGCCUGGACAAUGCUGGGAAGACGACCUUCCUGGAACAGUCAAAAACACGGUUUAACAAGAACUACAAGGGGAUGAGUCUAUCCAAAAUCACCACUACCGUGGGUCUAAACAUUGGCACAGUGGACGUGGGAAAGGCUCGUCUCAUGUUUUGGGACUUAGGUGGGCAAGAAGAGCUGCAGUCUUUAUGGGACAAGUACUAUGCAGAGUGCCAUGGUGUCAUCUAUGUCAUUGAUUCCACUGAUGAAGAGAGAUUGUCAGAAUCCAAAGAAGCAUUUGAGCCUGCAGUCGUGAACAGGAUACAGGGUGCAAGGCACCACCUCUCCUGCUUUCCUCAGAGAAGGUGGUUUCGAGUGAAGCAUUGGACGGUGUCCCCAUCCUGGUGUUGGCCAACAAGCAGGAUGUGGAGAGUCUCACCUCCCCUGCCAGACCUGCCUCUCCAUUCCUGACAUCAAGACUGCAUUCAGUGACUGUACCUGCAAGAUUGGCCGGCGAGACUGUCUGACCCAGGCCUGUUCUGCCCUCACAGGCAAAGGAGUUCGAGAGGGCAUCGAAUGGAUGGUGAAGUGUGUCGUGCGGAAUGUUCACCGACCACCACGGCAGAGGGACAUCACAUAAGCAUCUCCAACUUUACAGUCUUGGACUGUUCAUCAUCCCUAGUGUUGGAAAAGUACUCUCUGCUGGCUUCUGCCCUACUGAUGCUGGGUGUUGAGCUGGUUUUCUCUGUUCAUUCUUUUAUUUGCUUUAUGUUUUCUCUAAGACAAACUUUGCUCUGAAUCUGGAAAAGUGUAGGUAUUCAGAGACAAACAUGGGGCAUGCCAACCAUCCAGCUCUUCACGCCCUACACAUACAUACCCACCCUACCCCCACCCCAUCAUGGCCUCUCAUCUAGAGUCCUGCCCGACAGGUUAGGGUCUAGAACCCUUCCAACCUAGUGAGGAGGGAGAGGAGGGAGGCCACCCCGAGGCUUGCCCGCUAGCGCAUUCCAAAGUGGAAUUUGAGAUCAUUCUACGUGAAAUGCUCUGUCUUUGGCAGCUGCUUUGUCUAGCUUGUCCAUGGAGAAGGUGGGAAUGGCCAGGGCUAAUCUCACUUGGAGAAAGACCUAGCCUACAUCCCAGAGGCCAGCAUGGCCCCUAGUUGUUUUUUUUGGAUUUGGGUGUAUGGGAGAGACAAGCUUUCUCUGUAGCCCCAGUUGACCUGGAACCCUCUGCCUUCUUCCCUGUGCCACACCCAGCUUUUCCACUGGGUUUUGAUAUAAUCUCAGAACAGGGUUCAGCAGACCCUUCUGGGAAGCCUGACUUACCUUACUUAUGAACCCAUUCUCAGUCAGCUUUUAUCUCCAAAGGAGACAGCUGAUGUAGAAAUGCUUGUAGUCCACAUCUUGCUGAGUGUGCAUGUCAGUGCACCCUUACACAGGUUGUGUGGUAUCCUGAGGGCACAGCUUUCACUAGGUCAGGUGUUGCUAUAGCUAGUGCAAGUGGGCAUCAUAUGCUUUGAGUUAGGUGGGCUGGGUCCCUACAGGGUCCAGGUCAGUGAAGUUCUGAGUUUGCAUCUCCAGAUGGGUAUGAGGUAUGGGUUUCUAGUGAGCAGCAGCCAUGCUGGGGCUGACCAUGCCCACUAGGCCUGCUUGGUUAAAUUCUUCAUCAUGUGGCCAGGACAAGGUUGUAAAAUAAAGAGCUGAGGUGGUUUCUGUCCAACCAUCCCUUCAAGCAGUUAAAUCCUAGUUCCCCGCUAUCUGGGUUGGUGGUUGUAACCAGAAACUGCUAUUCUGGAGUGCCUUAUGAGCACUCCAGGAGCCCUCGGGGAGGUUUGGAACUGUGACUAAGCUGCAGUCCAAGUUCAGUUCAACCUCCCCAGGAGGACCUGGGAAGGAUGACUGAGAAGUUAUGAAUCAGGGGGUUGAGUACUCUGAUUCGUGGAGAAUUCCCACAGAUCUGUGAUUAUCAGCUGGUUUGAGUUUUUCCUAGUGGAUCUUCCUGGAAAUUAAAGAGUAGGUUGUUCACAAAGUGGCCAAACUCAGGGGAAGUCCUCUAUCAUGGGGCACCAGAUAUCACAGGGGUCUUUCUGCCCACCGUUGCCCAGUUUUGUCAAUGCUGAGGAAGACAAGGGACUUUAUUUAGUGACUUUUGUCACACCUUAUGGUGGUCAUCCAAGUGUUGUGGAACUUGCUGGCUUGGGAGCAUAGUGGGACAAAGCUUCUUACUCAGGUUGCUUAUUUGCUUGUGCAGAGCCACAACUUGAGAAUAAUUGUGUUUCUGAAGUAUAAGGUUAGAGUGACAUUGAUUGGGAGUGUAGAAUAAAGUCCUGUGUGCAGUAAA